UUACGAAAUAUAAGUUUGAUUUUACAAUGAAAAUGUAAUGUUUUUCUAAACUACAUAAAUAGAAAU
rnacentral:tRNA from 1 species